AUUGAACGCUGGCGGAAUGCUUUACACAUGCAAGUCGAGCGGCAGCGCGGGGGCAACCCUGGCGGCGAGCGGCGAACGGGUGAGUAAUACAUCGGAACGUACCCUGGUGUGGGGGAUAGCCCGGCGAAAGCCGGAUUAAUACCGCAUACGACCUGAGGGGGAAAGCGGGGGAUUCGCGAGAACCUCGCGCACUUGGAGCGGCCGAUGUCGGAUUAGCUAGUUGGUGGGGUAAAGGCCCACCAAGGCGACGAUCCGUAGCGGGUCUGAGAGGACGGCCCGCCACACUGGAACUGAGACACGGUCCAGACUCCUACGGGAGGCAGCAGUGGGGAAUCUUGGACAAUGGGGGCAACCCUGAUCCAGCCAUUCCGCGUGAGUGAAGAAGGCCUUCGGGUUGUAAAGCUCUUUCGGCAGGAACGAAACGGUACGGGCUAAUACCUCGUGCUAAUGACGGUACCUGAAGAAGAAGCACCGGCUAACUACGUGCCAGCAGCCGCCGUAA
rnacentral:rRNA from 1 species